rnacentral:rRNA from 1 species
GACGAACGCUGGCGGCGUGCUUAACACAUGCAAGUCGAACGGAAAGGCCCUGCUUUUGUGGGGUGCUCGAUUGGCGAACGGGUGAGUAACACGUGAGUAACCUGCCCUUGACUUUGGGAUAACUUCAGGAAACUGGGGCUAAUACCGGAUAGGAGCUCCUGCUGCAUGGUGGGGGUUGGAAAGUUUCGGCGGUUGGGGAUGGACUGGCGGCUUAUCAGCUUGUUGGUGGGGUAGUGGCUUACCAAGGCUUUGACGGGUAGCCGGCCUGAGAGGGUGACCGGCCACAUUGGGACUGAGAUACGGCCCAGACUCCUACGGGAGGCAGCAGUGGGGAAUAUUGCACAAUGGGCGGAAGCCUGAUGCAGCAACGCCGCGUGCGGGAUGACGGCCUUCGGGUUGUAAACCGCUUUCGACUGUGACGAAGCGUGAGUGACGGUAAUGGGUAAAGAAGCACCGGCUAACUACGUG